rnacentral:lncRNA from 1 species
AAACAUCAUUUUGUAAAACUCUAAGCACAUUCUUUGUGGAAGUAGCACUCAAAAUUGGAAAAUCAAUCAAGGAUAGAGUAGAGUUGGUCACGGCUUUUCCCUUAGCUUUCCAAGCAAGAAUUGACGUUUAAGCCAUUAAUGUCAUUCCCAUUCUUUGAAAAUAGUCUUGAUUCUCAAUGCAAGCAACUGAUAGCUCAAUAAUAUUUUGGCAGACUUCUAUUGGGUAGUAGGUUGCAUUUGUGGUGCUGGCUCAUUCGCUUUGGUUAGCCACUUUUACACCAUCCUUCUUCCAUUUUUGGUGCUCCUUCAGCUGAUCAACUAUUGGUGUUCUAGGAAUAGGACAUCAUGUCCAAAAGUCUGACAACUAUCACAAACUCAGAUCUCCAUUCGUAAUACACAGCUUGUUGAAAUAUUGUUCGAUUAGGAUCCAUAACAGCUACAUCUAUUAUCAAAGGCUUCGUCAUAUUCACCUCAACGAGUAUCCUUGCAAAAGAGAUCCUAGUUUGCUUGGAUAUGUAUUCACCAACAAAGAUGGGAGUUCCGAUAGUGUUAGUAAUUCUACUCAGAGAUUUAACCCCCUAACAAUUCAUGGGCAGCUUAGCCAGAGUAAUUCAUAGAGAAAUAUCAGUUAAGAAGUCCUUUUUGAAAUCAAAAUUUGAGGUCCCAGGCUUCAAGACAAUAGGUCUAUCAUUAAUUGAUUAAGGGCCAGCAUGCAAGAUUUCUUACAUAUCAUCCAUAGAUUGAAAAUUGAUGAUGUAAUAUCUGUCCCAUGUAAGAACAAAUCCAGCUCAGCUAUGUUAUUCCACUGUUGUGAUGUGCGAC